CCUUGUCUCUGAAGAUCAUCAGUUUGAGAGUUUUCAGUUAUUUUUCAGCAUUUUCUGGUAAACGCCUGAAAGAGAUUGUUUCGGAGGCAGCAAGGGAGCUAAAGAAGUCAUCAAG